rnacentral:lncRNA from 1 species
AUUUUUUAAUUUAUUUUCAGGAAUCAGAUUUUUAAUUCGUCCCUAUCUAGUAGCCCUGAUUGGAGCAGCGAUUCCUCUGUUUUUUCUGCCCUUUUAGUCGUCUGCUUCUACAGAAAAUGUGUAAGAAGAUGAGAGUCUCAGUGAGACGAGAUUCUCUCCAGUUUCCACAAAAACUCUCUGUCUUCGUGCUGAACGCAAUAGAAGAAGAUGACGGCAGAGAACAUGGAGAUGAAGGAAUGGAGUUUCAACUUUGAGCUUGGACACCAAACAGCAGAGAUGAAGUCUUUAGAAACUGUUUAUCCAAAUGUGAC